rnacentral:lncRNA from 1 species
UGCUUUUGGGCUUGAGGAACUGUAACGGCAUGGCUCAGACAGUGCGUUGGAAUGACAGUGUCAUUAUCAUCUAAUGAAAAUCUGACUUUGGUCCUCAGAGAAGGUCACUGGAAAGGGGACCCGAAGACGUAGUUUCAAGAGUGUUCCUGAUGCAGCUGGCUCCUGCCAGCCUCCACCCCGCCUGCCAGCACUCUGCUCUGCUGUUAAUCACAACAGCACAGUGAAAGUGAGGUGCAUGUUAAGGAGGCAUGGCCUCAUCUACCCAGAGAAUCCUGCUCUGCUCGAAGGCCUCCAGACACUUGUACACACAGCUCUUCCAACAGACAAUCCACGACUGUUCACAGCCACCAGCAAGCAGACUUGGCAGUUGGGAGAAGAAUACGUACAGACUGAUGGACGGACAGAGACCAGACCUGAGAGCAACAGCUCUGAUCCUUGCCCUAGGGACCAAGAGCUGGUCUACCAAUGGAGUGAGGAUGACGGGGACAGACCAGACAGGGCUCCAGAAGCUAUACUGAGAAACUGGAGUUCUAUAAUUAAGGGCGCUGUAGAAGAGCACUUGACUUGGAAGUCCAGGGUGGCACCUGAUAAGUGUGGCCACUAUAGCCAGGCUGAGGCAGCAACUGUGACUGUGCUAAAUGAAUAAAUGAUUGACUGU